rnacentral:tRNA from 1 species
AUGCAGCUCAGUUGGGAGAGCGUUUGUCUAGCAUGCACAAGGCCCUGGGUUCAAUCCCCAGCAU